GCCGCUGUGUUGGAACUGCCAGCUAGACUGCUCACCAAAAUGGGAGGCAGCCUCUGCUGCUGUGGUGAAGGUGAAGACACACUCAGCGAUUCAGCUCUACAGUAUGCACUCUGGGAUCUCCCAUUUGCUAAGGAAGGAUCUUAGCUUUGAGAAAGGUGUCAAGCCUGUGGCAGCAGAGCUUCCUGGGGAGUCCUCAGAGCAAGUCAUUGCCAUUGUCGAAGUGUCUUCUAGGCUUUAUUUUGGGGCCAUUACCUCGAGCACUGUUUCUUGUCUGGUUUCCUAAUGUCAGCAACUGAAGAAAAGACCUGUAUACACAGGACACAGCAUGGUCUGACGCUCACAGUGUUUUCCUUUCUCUCUGCAGAGGGAUUCAGCACUUUGGGCAAGUGGUUGCACAGAGGAUCCCGUGGAAGAAUUCAUAUAUGAAUCAGAUGAGAAUGCCCCAGGACCAUCGUAGGUCAGGCCACCUGCUUUUGUCAAAGAAAAAAGAUAACCCCUAUUUGAAUUAAAAUAUGAGAAUCUGACCAUAUGUAUCAUAGGUGACUUACACAGUGUCCUUGGUAAGGAGAAUUUAGAGUGAGAGUCUGUUCCCCACUGAGGUUUGAUUUAAGAUGGCAGAAGAAAAUGACAUCAUCAGCCACUCAGCAGCUUGAUUCUCUCCUUGGGGCAAAAUCACUUAAUUGCCAAGCAACAUGGACUUACAGGAAACAUCCUCCAAUAAAAACUUAGGUUUUUAGCAUGAUUCGGUAUGUCCUGUUCUUAUUUUGGGUGCUUUUGGGUGGUCUCAUCGUGACAGUCAAUGUCCUGGGUCUUCAGUGUCUAUAAAGUCCCCCUGCAGCCCUCCUGCCCGCUGUCUUGGCAUUGCCUCCAUUCCUGGUCCCCAGGCUGCAGCGUUGAAUCCUGUUGAGCAACCCCACAGGGUUUAGGAAGGGAGCCCGGCUGAGGUCAGAAGAGUUGGCGCCACCCUGCAGGAAGGGUUCCCAGUGACGUCUGGGUCUGCUGUGGCCGCCCCCCUCCGCCCCGGGGCUUUUGCUGCACUGGGGUCUCUGGACAUGCGCACUUGUUGUCUUCCUCCCAGAUACCAACAAGCCCUCUCCCGGCACCUGCAGAAAAAGUGGGGAAAAUCCCCGAAGAGGCAGAAACGUGAGUGUGCAGGGGCGGCAUGACCAGGGGAAGGCAGACAAUGCCUGUGUGCCCAUGGCUGCCCUCAUUCUCUUGUUGUCCCAUCAGAAAACCUAGUGAGCUGAAGGAUGAGGCUGCUGAAGAGCCUGAGCUCACUUGUUGUGGCCUUUGUACUUAUGCUGGAAAUCCCUAAAGGCAAGUGAAGGAUGCCCUGAGAACAUCCUCCAGGGAGCAGACAGCCUCUCCAUAGCAGCCCCUGAGCCCACCGGGCUGAGCCUUCCAUAGGCUGCUUUAAUGAGGGAGGGGCUGAGGUGCUGGUCAGGCUACCAGAUGCAGGAUUCUGAGGGCCAUGCAGCGCGUUCCUGUCUGCAGUGCCACUUAAGCUCAUUUGAGGGGACCCAGCCCUGCCCUCCAUGUCCCCAGAAGACAACAGGGAGGGAGCUUCACCAAUUCAACAUGAGCAGCCACUGGGUUGAUCAUGAAUCCCCCUGUUGCAUGCCUGCUGGGAAAGGUGUGAGAGGGAGGGAGGCAGCCCCAGGCUUCUUGCCACACAAGCAGCCCACCCAGCCCAGCAUUGCACACCUGCGGGCACUCAGUAGGUCCUGGCAUCAAGAAGGGGAAAGGCCAGGAUCCAAGACCCGCUGGGAUGUGCCCAGUCCCAGGGACCCCCCAGCCUCCAUGGAGCCCUCGGUGCCUCGGGUGGCCUCAUGGCCCCAUUUCUCAAGAUGAGUUUGGAGGCUUCUGUGUGUAGAGAGCACUGAUUUGGGCAUCAGUGGUUCUGUGUCUGUGUCAGAUGCCAACAAAAAUACUCGUGAAGACAAGUCAGGGCCAUGCUCACUUAGGAGUUGUUGAGGGGCAGGAUUCAGGAAGUCACUGUUUUAAAUGUAUUUUCCAAUUUGAAAUUAACAUAUAUGAGUGUGUGUUUUUGUGUAUUUUAUAGAUAUGUGUGUGUAUAUAUGUACACACACAGUCACACACACACACAGUUUUUUACUCUUUAAAACAGUGGUUUCCAUAAUCUUUUUAUGCUGGAAUGUAUUAAGUGAGAAAUGCAUGUUUUAGCAAAGCAUUAAUGAUUUUUUGAAUGAAAAUGCAUAGACAGGGUUGGUGGGGAUGUUGGAAGGAACAAGUCUUAUUGGGCGAUAACAAUGAUGUGCUCCAGGAAGCGGCACACAUUUAACGUGCAGCUCUUCUGUCUGGAUGGCGUGGAGGGUCUGGGUGGAGGGGCAGGUCACCACCCCACCCUGUGUCAUCAGACCUCCUGCUCCUCCCAGGGCCCGGGGGCAUGGGGCUCUGCCUGUUGAUCCUUGCUCUUUGUGUUUCAGUAUCUGGAGGUCCAGUCCCCUGAAGGCGCCCAUGUGCGUGCCUGGGCUCAGUGCCUCCUGCAGGACAUUUAUAGACACUCUGUGCACAGACAACCCCCUCAGCAGAGAGCAGCACACAGGCCUUGGUGCCCUGUGGGUGGACUCUGGGGAGGCCAGGGGCCCAAGGCCACCUUCUAGGGCCUGAGGAGCCCUCUGAGACCUGCACACCCACCCCAGGGAGCGCCCCUCCCUCCACCUCUGUGCCCCCCCAGUGACUCUCGAACCUCUGUCUGUUUUGCAGAUUCAUCCGGAAGGGCCGCCAGCCAGUGGAUUUCCCGGGCCCCUCAGCCCUCUGGAGUGUACGAGUUUUGGAGAAACCUCUUCCUCUGUAUAUGCUUUUGACUUUCCUGGACUGAUGUAAAAAUACUCUUUUCUUUGACCUGUUUAUUUUUAAGACACGAUGUGAUUGUGUCAGCUUAUAUUUUAUUGCUGAAGUAAAUUUUCAAAUGUUUUAUUA
rnacentral:lncRNA from 1 species